rnacentral:rRNA from 1 species
UGGGGAAUUUUCCGCAAUGGGCGAAAGCCUGACGGAGCAAUGCCGCGUGGAGGUGGAAGGCCUACGGGUCGUCAACUUCUUUUCUCGGAGAAGAAACAAUGACGGUAUCUAAGGAAUAAGCAUCGGCUAACUCUGUGCCAA